rnacentral:rRNA from 1 species
CAAGACCUUGCGCUUUUGGAGCGGCCGAUGUCUGAUUAGCUAGUUGGUGGGGUAAAGGCUUACCAAGGCUUCGAUCAGUAGCUGGUCUGAGAGGACGACCAGCCACACUGGGACUGAGACACGGUCCAGACUCCUACGGGAGGCAGCAGUGGGGAAUUUUGGACAAUGGGGGCAACCCUGAUCCAGCCAUGCCGCGUGAGUGAAGAAGGCCUUCGGGUUGUAAAGCUCUUUCAGCCGGAACGAAACGGUCACGGUUAAUAACUGUGAUCACUGACGGUACCGGAAGAAGAAGCACCGGCUAACUACGUGCCAGCAGCCGCGGUAAUACGUAGGGUCCGAGCGUUAAUCGGAAUUACUGGGCGUAAAGCGUGCGCAGGCGGUUUUGUAAGUCAGAUGUGAAAUCCCUGGGCUUAACCUGGGAACU